AUUGAACGCUGGCGGCAUGCCUUACACAUGCAAGUCGAACGGUAACAGGUCUUCGGAUGCUGACGAGUGGCGAACGGGUGAGUAAUACAUCGGAACGUGCCUAGUAGUGGGGGAUAACUACUCGAAAGAGUGGCUAAUACCGCAUGAGAUCUACGGAUGAAAGCAGGGGAUCGCAAGACCUUGUGCUACUAGAGCGGCCGAUGGCAGAUUAGGUAGGUGGUGGGAUAAAAGCUUACCAAGCCGACGAUCCGUAGCUGGUCUGAGAGGACGAUCGGCCACACUGGGACUGAGACACGGCCCAGACUCCUACGGGAGGCAGCAGUGGGGAAUUUUGGACAAUGGGCGAAAGCCUGAUCCAGCAAUGCCGCGUGCAGGAUGAAGGCCUUCGGGUUGUAAACUGCUCUUGUACGGAACGAAAAGCCCCGGGUUAAUACCCUGGGGUCAUGACGGUACCGUAAGAAUAAGCACCGGCUAACUAGGUGCCAGCCGCCGCAGUAA
rnacentral:rRNA from 1 species